rnacentral:rRNA from 1 species
AGUGAACGCUGGCGGUAGGCCUAACACAUGCAAGUCGAACGGCAGCACAGGAGAGCUUGCUCUCUGGGUGGCGAGUGGCGGACGGGUGAGGAAUACAUCGGAAUCUACUCUGUCGUGGGGGAUAACGUAGGGAAACUUACGCUAAUACCGCAUACGACCUACGGGUGAAAGCAGGGGACCUUCGGGCCUUGCGCGAUUGAAUGAGCCGAUGUCGGAUUAGAUAGUUGGCGGAGUAAAGGCCCACCAAGGCGACGAUCCGGAGCUGGUCUGAGAGGAGGAUCCGCCACACUGGAACUGAGCCACGGUCCAGACUCCUGCGGGAGGCAGCAGUGGGGAAUAUUGGACAAUGGGCGCAAGCCUGAUCCAGCCAUACCGCGUGGGUGAAGAAUGCCUUCGGGUUGUAAAGCCCUUUUGUUGGGAAAGAAAUCCAGCUGGCUAAUACCCGGUUGGGAUGACGGUACCCAAAGAAUAAGCACCGGCUAACUUCGUGCCAGCCGCCGCAGUAA